AUAUCAAUAAGCGGAGGAAAAGAAACCAACAGGGAUUGCCCUAGUAACGGCGAGUGAAGCGGCAACAGCUCAAAUUUGAAAUCUGGCUCUUUUAGAGUCCGAGUUGUAAUUUGCAGAGGGCGCUUUGGCUUUGGCAGCGGUCCAAGUUCCUUGGAACAGGACGUCACAGAGGGUGAGAAUCCCGUACGUGGUCGCUAGCUAUUGCCGUGUAAAGCCCCUUCGACGAGUCGAGUUGUUUGGGAAUGCAGCUCUAAAUGGGAGGUAAAUUUCUUCUAAAGCUAAAUAUUGGCCAGAGACCGAUAGCGCACAAGUAGAGUGAUCGAAAGAUGAAAAGCACUUUGGAAAGAGAGUCAAACAGCACGUGAAAUUGUUGAAAGGGAAGCGCUUGCAGCCAGACUUGCUUGCAGUUGCUCAUCCGGGCUUUUGCCCGGUGCACUCUUCUGCAGGCAGGCCAGCAUCAGUUUGGGCGGUGGGAUAAAGGUCUCUGACACGUUCCUUCCUUCGGGUUGGCCAUAUAGGGGAGACGUCAUACCACCAGCCUGGACUGAGGUCCGCGCAUCUGCUAGGAUGCUGGCGUAAUGGCUGUAAGCGGCCCGUCU
rnacentral:rRNA from 1 species